CCUACGGGAGGCAGCAGUGGGGAAUAUUGGGCAAUGGGCUCAAGCCUGACCCAGCAACGCCGCGUGAAGGAAGAAGGCUUUCGGGUUGUAAACUUCUUUUCUGAGGGACGAAGAAAGUGACGGUACCUCAGGAAUAAUCCACGGCUAACGACGUGCCAGCAGCCGCGGUAAUACGUAGGUGGAAAGCGUUAUCCGGCUUUAUUUGGUGUAAAGGGCGUGUAGGCGGGAAAGCAAGUCAGCUGUGAAACCUCAGGGCUCAACCCUGAGCCUGCAUUUGAAACUGUUUUUCUUGAGUGCUGGAGAGGCAAUCGGAAUUCCGUGGGUAGCGGUGAAAUGCGUAGAUAUACGGAGGAACACCAGUGGCGAAGGCGGAUUGCUGGACAGUAACUGACGCUGAGGCGCGAAAGCGUGGGGAGCAAACAGGAUUAGAUACCCUAGUAGUC
rnacentral:rRNA from 1 species